rnacentral:rRNA from 1 species
CCUACGGGAGGCAGCAGUGAGGAAUAUUGGACAAUGGGCGCAAGCCUGAUCCAGCCAUGCCGCGUGCAGGAAGACGCAUCUAUGGUGUGUAAACUGCUUUUGUACGGGAAGAAACACUCCCUCGUGAGGGAGCUUGACGGUACCGUAAGAAUAAGGAUCGGCUAACUCCGUGCCAGCAGCCGCGGUAAUACGGAGGAUCCAAGCGUUAUCCGGAAUCAUUGGGUUUAAAGGGUCCGUAGGCGGUUUAAUAAGUCAGUGGUGAAAGCCCAUCGCUCAACGAUGGAACGGCCAUUGAUACUGUUAGACUUGAAUUACUAGGAAGUAACUAGAAUAUGUAGUGUAGCGGUGAAAUGCUUAGAUAUUACAUGGAAUACCAAUUGCGAAGGCAGGUUACUACUAGUGGAUUGACGCUGAUGGACGAAAGCGUGGGGAGCGAACAGGAUUAGGAUACCCUGGUAGUCCACGCCGUAAACGAUGACUACUAGCUGGUAGGCGACUAAGUUCAGUGGUCGUAGAGAAGUAGAGUAAGUA